rnacentral:rRNA from 1 species
UACAGAGGCCUCAAGCGUUGUUCGGAUUCAUUGGGCGUAAAGGGUGCGCAGGCGGUCGGGUAAGUCGGAUGUGAAAUCCUGGGGCUCAACCUCAGAACUGCAUUCGAUACUGCUUGGCUAGAGGAUUGGAGAGGAGAGUGGAAUUCACGGUGUAGCAGUGAAAUGCGUAGAGAUCGUGAGGAAGACCAACGGCGAAGGCAGCUCUCUGGACAAUUCCUGACGCUCAGGCACGAAGGCCAGGGGAGCAAACGGG